AAGGAUCAAGCUGGGACAAACUUCACGUGCUGGUGAGGGGUGUGACUGAAUGGAGGACAUGGUUUCAUAUCAGAGUUUGUUUUUGAAAUGAGCCGUUUUUUCUUCAUACACUGCGGGUCUCCAUACAUGGAAGUCGCCAUCAUGUUUCUACAGCAGCCCUAAACGGACAAACUGUUCCACAGAGUGUGUUUCAUUCCUACUUUUCUGAGACGGCGGCUACCAUACAGGUAUGUGUUUUGAAACUGAGGUGUGAGCUGUUGGUUGCAAUUCGUAAUCUCACCACUAGAUGAAGAAAACAUUUACACACAGCACCUUUAAGAGAUGCUUAUGACUAAAACAUCUGUACAUAUUUAGUAUAUAUCGCCAGGGCCGGAGUGGAGCCACUUUUCAGCCCGGGAGUUUCAGGCCCAAGACCGGCCCACUUUUUCCAUGGUGGAAUUCCAAAUGAGCACUUUUUCCAAAUUGGAUAAAUGAAGCAACAGUUCUUACAAUUGUGUAGUUUUUAUUAAUAUCAUGGUUCAACAAAUAUUAAAUAAUAAUUCACUUAUUCACUACAAAAAUAAUUAGUAAUUAAAAUAAAAUAAUAAUAAAAAGUAAUUUUACUGCAUACACAGAUCAAGCUUGAGUUUUGUUAUGAAUAUUAAACUGCAUAAUAUUUGCAAAGUAUAUGAAUCGCCAAGAAUUGGGUGAUACACAAAAGGCUAAUAUUUUGAUUAUUUUAUACUUUGCUUGUGAAUAGGUUGACAACGGUAAUAGCCAAAUAAUUACGUUGCUAAUGCUAAUCAUUACUAGGCAUAUCUCUCUUUACCUGUCGCCACUUGUGUUUGUCCUCUUGAAAAUAAAUCGUUAAGCUUGGCACUUUUGGCAGCAUCCUCCUAUAAAGCCUUUCUUUUAUUUUCUUCAACCUGGCUUUAUAGCCCUUCCUCCCAACUAUCCUCCCUAACGCAUAUUGUUAAGGCAGGGCCGGCCCAGCUAUCAGUAGGCGCCAGCAGUAGCCUAUGAGAUGAAAAGUUUUGGUAGAGACGAGACGCGCUAUGGACCGAACCAACUCUAUGGGAGGGGAGGGGGGAUCUCACUCACAUGGUACAACCCAUGCAGAGGCUGCGUGCUGCGGUGUCGAAAUGAGGAACAUGUGUAGUGUUAUUUAAGAGAAGAUAAACUCACUAAUGUGACAAAUCAAAAAA